UACGGGGGGGGCAAGCGUUGUUCGGAAUUACUGGGCGUAAAGGGCUCGUAGGCGGCCAACUAAGUCAGACGUGAAAUCCCUCGGCUUAACCGGGGAACUGCGUCUGAUACUGGAUGGCUCGAGUGUGGGAGAGGGAUGCGGAAUUUCCGGUGUAGCGGUAAAAUUCGUAGAUAUUCGGAAGAACACCAGUGGCGAAGGCGGCUCUCUGGAUCUCUUCUGACGCUGAGGCACGAAUGCUAGGGUAGCGAACGGG
rnacentral:rRNA from 1 species